CUACGGAGGGUGCAGGCGUUAUUCGGAAUCACUGGGCGUAAAGGACGCGUAGGCGGGUUGGCAAGUCAGAUGUGAAAUCCUACAGCUUAACUGUAGAACUGCAUUUGAAACUGCUAACCUAGAGUAUGGGAGGGGGAGAUGGAAUUAGUGGUGUAGGGGUAAAAUCCGUAGAUAUCACUAGGAAUACCGAAAGCGAAGGCGAUCUCCUGGAACAUAACUGACGCUAAGGCGUGAAAGCGUGGGGAGCAAACAGGAUUAGAAACCCUAGUAGUCC
rnacentral:rRNA from 1 species